rnacentral:rRNA from 1 species
AUUGAACGCUGGCGGCAUGCCUUACACAUGCAAGUCGAACGGUAACGCGGGGCAACCUGGCGACGAGUGGCGAACGGGUGAGUAAUGUAUCGGAACGUGCCCAGUUGUGGGGGAUAACUGCUCGAAAGAGCAGCUAAUACCGCAUACGACCUGAGGGUGAAAGCGGGGGAUCGCAAGACCUCGCGCAAUUGGAGCGGCCGAUAUCAGAUUAGGUAGUUGGUGGGGUAAAGGCCCACCAAGCCAACGAUCUGUAGCUGGUCUGAGAGGACGACCAGCCACACUGGGACUGUGACACGGACCAGACUCCUACGGGAGGCAGCAGUGGGGAAUUUUGGACAAUGGACGCAAGUCUGAUCCAGCCAUGCCGCGUGCGGGAAGAAGGCCUUCGGGUUGUAAACCGCUUUUGUCAGGGAAGAAAAGGGCGACUCUAAUACAGUUGCCUCAUGACGGUACCUGAAGAAUAAGCACCGGCUUACUACGUGCCAGCCGCCGCAGUAAAAC